AGAAGGCUGUUCUCUGCCUGUAGCAAUCAUAUUACACAACCCUCAGGUAUGACUUUCAUUGAGCUGUGAACUGGCUGAGCACAGUAUUCACUUACAUCUCUGUCCCAAGGCUCCUUAUACAAUGCAGGCCACUAGCACUGGUGAUGCAACAGACUAAGAAGUCUUCACAAGAAGCAGCUCAGAACCCUCAGGGAUCAAAGACUCUACAGUGGGCAUAUUGGUAAGGAAACAUAUCAUAAGUGCCCAGAAGGCAAGAACCUCACCUUGAAGGAUACCUGGAAGAUAUGUGAAAUCUGAGCAAUCUCAGGUGCGAUCAGAUGCCGCGAAGGACCGGAUGGAUCAAUACUCCCAGCAGCAAGCCGCUCGAUACCCCCUGAAUUAUUGCUUCAUUUUUCUUCUUAUUAUAGAUGAGUUGUGUUAUUAUUUUCCCCAAAUCGAUAUUUUACAACCUUUUUUAUCCGUUUCUCCAUAAAUUUUGUGAUUACUUUAAACUGGGAAUUCCGGUACGCUAAAUAAGAUGCAGUAUCUGGAAGGAACAGAAUGUACUGACAUGUUUUUUGGUUUUGUUUUUGUGUUACUGUUUUAGACAUUAUGCCUUGUUUAAAGGCACAUCGUAAUCAAUAGCUGAGGGGGAAAAACGUUCAUGGAGAAAAGUUUAACAUAACCCUGCGCUUGCAAAAUGAAAAGUGCAUAUCCAUCCUUUUAAACAGCAGCAGCCCAAACAGCACAAAGCUGGGGGGGGGGGAAUGGAGGGAGGUGGGAUUGAUCAGUGCUUUGCAUCUGAAAUUUCAUUCCUAAUGCUUUCUCUCCCCUCCAGUUACAGGGCCAAUGCAAUCUCCUUAAAUCAUUUCUCACAAAGGAGAUUACUCUAUGCACCUUGGAGAGAUUUAAUUGGCUUCUAUAGCUGUCUGUUGCUAAGUGUUUAAAACAUCUCCAAAUCAAAUCAGCAUUGGGACAUGCCACCAACAUGGGGAUACGGACCUCAUCUCUCACUGCAUCACAAUCUGCCUAGAGUUCACACCCUCAUCCAUGUUCACCCUGUCAGUCAGCUGCCUUGCCAUCCAGCAGUAACUGGAACAGCCUAUGGAGCUGGGAUGCAGCAGGGUUCUCUUUUCAGGCAGGUUUUAAUCUUGGGUCUGAUUAUGAUCAUCCUGAAAUAUUUUUACCAUUAUAUUACCAUUGCUCCUGACGAUUCUGCCUCUAGGUCCACUAAGCUCACUAAACACAGCACAAGCUAUUGCUUCUUAUCCUCCAUGACCACCAGGGGAUGAGACUUAAAGGGAGGAUGGAGGGUCCACACAGAUUGUGGACCAGCAAUAUCACCAGCAUUGGAUUAGGAGAUGUAACAGGGAUGGAAUGUUUCUGAGAACACUACCUGGUCCUUCUCUGAUUAGGCCUUGAGAAAAAUCACCCUUCGGUCCUAGUUAGGUCUCCCAAGAGCAUGUGGCAGAUAAUCUGCUGUUGUAAGGACUUCCACUGAAGACAGGGCGAAAGAAACACCCUUCACCUGUGUGACUGUGCUUUGCCCACACUGAAAACACCACUUGGCUCUUUCACAGGACUUUAAUUUACUCAGGGGUAAAGAAAGUCUCCCUUUCCUUUUGUCAACAGAAAGACAAGGAUGUAAACAGGUCAAAACAAAAUCUGUGGUACCCUUUCUGCAAAUAGAUUACAAAUUGGAAGGCCCAAAGCAUCAAGCAUCUAGAUGACCCUAAGUUCUGCUUCAAAGUUUGCUCAAAGACUGGUGUCCUUAGAUAUUAAAGAGUGGCUAUCCAAUGGCCACAAUGACACAGGGUAAAUGAUGCACACAUACAUUCAAAAAGUCGAUGACUUUAAAUAUUCGAAUAUUUAGGAAUCCACUGACAGAACAGAAAAAUCUUAUAUAUGAUUCUGUUUUGUAUGCAUUAUCAAUCCUAUAUUAGUUUGGAAAAGGCUCUGCCUUUAUCUGAGCCUCAGACAAUUCCUUUGCAAUUGUCAGGACUGGUCCAGGCCGUCUCUGGGGACCUUUCUAUCUCUGUAACACAGAUCACUGAACUCUGUUCUCAUAGUUUUUCUUUUUUAAUGUAUACAUUUAUUCAAUGAACUUGAGUCAUUUUCACCCCUCAUUCCCCUCCCUCUCCUGCUGACACACUUCUUAGCAAGUCCUCCCUCUUACUGUGUGUGGUCACUGGUUUAAUUAGUUACUCACCUGGGCAUGAGUAGGAGAUUAUUCAACAGAGCAGGAGCAACUUAUCUGCGGUUAUAUCACUGAAGAAAAUGACACCACCUUCCCUAACAAGUGUUAGUUUCCAAUAGUCCUUUUGGGAGGGCUGGAACCUCACAGGGCCCUUUCCUCAUCCAUGAUGAAAUGUUGAUGAGCCCAAUCUUGUGCAGGUCUUAGGUAGAUAACCACAGCUGCAGAGAGUCCAUGAGUGCAAUGGCUGUGUCAUGUCCAGAAUACAUUUAUUUGCUGCACAUCUUCCCCCUGGCUCUUACAAUCUUUUCACUCCCUUAAUGUUCCUUAUGGAUUCUUUCUGGAUGAGGUCUCCCAUUAAUUGAGUACUUAUUAUAUACUGCACACUAUGGUAAGCUUUUCAUGUGCCUUACUGAAUUCUCAGUCAUCCUAGAAAGAUCAUUCCAAUUUUCCAGAUAAAGAAAUGGAGUCUUAGGCUGGUUAAGAAACUUGCAAGGAUUUGGACCAGUUUCUUAAUAACCAAAUGUUAAGGGAGUCUAAGGGACAUGGCAUAGUAAGGAAACAGCCUCCUAGAAGACAGGCAGAAGAGGAGGAACAAGAUAUUAAAAAACUACUAGCUGAGUGACUUCAGUUAAGUCUUUAAAACUCUAUAAACCUAGCUUAUGUCAUCUAUCAAGUAGCCAACCAGUUGGCUAACUAGCUUAUCUUUCAGGCUUAUAAUUUCAUAAAUUUAUGGCCACAUUUUUCAUCUUUCCUUCAUGCCUUCAUCCAUUUGACUUGCCUCAUGCUUAUCAUGUCCCAGUCUGUACUAGGCACUUGAGAACAUGGUAGUGAACAAGACAGACAAGAACCUGCCUUCCUGGAGCUUGCAUUCCACUGUGAGACAUGAGCAUAUGCCACCCAGAUCAUAUGAACUGCUAUAGGUGCAAUGAAUCCAAUAAAAACACAACACGUAACCAAAGUGCCAGGGCUGGGAAGGCUGAGACUCUAGAAGCCCCUUUCCAAUUAGUGUAUUAUCUCCUUAGAAGACGAAAGGGGGAGCAAUAUCAGUGGAAGGCAAUUGUGACACACAGAGGCUCAACACACAGGUGUGUUCUUCGGCCCCUGACAUACAAUAUUCUGACAAGUUGCAGAUUUGUUUUCCUUUGUUGUUAGUAAUAUUAUUCAGUGAAAAUUCCAAGCCUUUAGAUGAUCCUCUUAUACACUCUGAGCUAAGUUCAGUACAAUACAUUUCAUUUCUCCAGUGUUCAGGAAAUUAAAGCAGUACAAGAUAUAAGCCUGCUCAAAACAGCUUCUCCAGAGAUAGUCAUUCACCCAAACUUCCUGACACCUUUGAGAAGCCAUCCUGGCCUGCAGGACUGCUCAAGAAAUCGGUUAGAGCUGAAGGAAAUAAAACACCUGUGUGUGUGUGUGUGUGUGUGUGUGUGUGAUGACUACAGAGGUCAUACUUUGUGUAGAGAGUUAAAUGGCAAUGUAUUUUUGACAUUAAACAAAGCUCUAAAUUAGCUCCA